AUACUCUGGUUUCUCUUCAUAUCGAAUAAAGCUUUCGCCUUUACUAAAGAUUUCCUUGGAGAGGAACAUCCAUGAUUUUUUAAAGAUUUUUAGUUGAGGCUCUGCCCCUUCCACGGCUAAA